UUCCCACCAGUGGUUUACUUUUCACUGAAUUCUUCUGGUCAUAUUGUUGAACAUUCUGGCCUGCUUUCUAACCAAUUACUUUAUCUAUCAGCGAAAUUAAACUUCACUUUCGAUAUUUUUGCUUCGAGAGAAAACACCAACGGAGUCAAGCAGAAAAACGGAACUUGGAAUGGCGUAAUUGGACAUAUCCUACGAGGGGAAGCGGAUUUGGGUUUGGUACCUGUAGCCAUUGACUUAGAACGCUACCAAGCUAUCGAGUUUUCUGGAAGCUUGGGGGGAGACGAUUCCGGAAUCCUGGUUAAAUAUCCAGAGCCAAGUGUUUCCUUUACUGGGGUGUUUGACGUAUUCUCUAUUGGAGUAAAUUUCUACGCAUUAAAUUUUUAAUUGUCUUUCGACAACUUUCAAACUAUAAUGAAAUUUUUCGUUAUGAAAUUCGAAUGGAAUGCUCAGAUAUGGAUCGGAUGGAUAGUUUCAGGUGUAGUGAUCGUUGUCAUUUCUAUCAGCUUGGCUUACGUGACAAAACGACAAAGUUUUGGCGUAAGCGAACAUGACGCAAUACGGGCAGG